rnacentral:rRNA from 1 species
GACGGGGGGUGCGAGCGUUAUCCGGAAUCACUGGGCGUAAAGCGUAUGUAGGUGGUGAUGAAAGUCACUGGUGCAAAACUCAGGCUCAACCGGAGGAAAACCAUUGAAACUGCAUCACUAGAGUGAGGGAGAGGUAGAAGGAAUUCCCUGAGUAGCGGUGAAAUGCGUAGAUACAGGGAAGAACACCAGAGGCGAAAGCGUUCUACUAUAACACAACUGACACUGAGAGACGAAAGCUAGGGGAGCGAAUGGG